CCGAUAACCAUACGUUCACUGUAUCUGCAGAACCCUGGGGUCGACCAGCACCUUCUCACACACUGGGUCGCAUGACCUGAUGCCAGUUCAGCAUGGAAGUCAUUAAUGCCACUUGAGAGUGAGAAGCUUUGGCCUAUGUGAAGUUCUGGGAGAUGACGCUGCCGAAGGCUGCCCUUCCUGGCCGUCACACAGCUUCCCUGCUGGCCUCCUGCUUCAACAAAUAUCCACGGCUUUAGGUCAGGAACCUCUGAGGGAAAGUCACCUCAUAAUUGUGACAUAUCUGGCUGGAGUUUACUUCCCCUUGGGGUGUGCUCUGGAUCUCCUCCACAGUGAUGGCCGGUGCCACCUGGCUGAGGGAUUGUGAGUCUUUGCCUCCAUUCAGGUCCGGUCGUUGCCUCAAAGCAAACAGGGCACCCAUAGGGACUCCGGGGAGUCCGCGGUCAGCUCGGGUGCGGCUCUUCCGGGUGGCGUCCAGCAGGUGGCGCUGCACCCCGCGCGAUCCCGGCCGGUCGGCCCACGCUCUCGGGGAGGCACCCCAGUUACUGGGAAGUCGGGAAGUAGGUUUUCACGCACCCUAAGCUGCAGCCGUGGCGAAUGCAAGUGAUGACACACCGGCUUGACGAGGGCCUUUGUCAGAGGCACGGGGGAUCUGGCGUCACCGCGAAAUGGAAAACAAAGUGCUUCUGCUUGCCUGGCCAGAGUUUGCUUUGCUCACCAUUGGUUCUGGGGCAUUUACAGGCAGAAUGAGUUCAUGUGAAAUUUCAGGACCUCGCCAUGACUCAGGUUCACUUUCUGUAAACCAGUCAGCAUUGACCCUUUCCCCCUCGCUUUGGACAUUGACUCAGACUUUUAGGGGACCAGUUGUAUUUGUGCUCGCCGAAGUUAUUUGAGUAUUUCAUAAGCACAUCUAUUUUUUCCAAGGGCACUUUUUUUUUUUUUAAAACCCAACUUGGGACAGAUUUGUAUUUUGAGAUUUUUGUCACUCUUAGCUCCAAAAAUAGGUCUGCCUUGUCUAUUAUUUAUGUGUUCAGAAGUAUGCUGUUUAGAAAUUCAAGUGAAAACUGUAAAACAUUAUUCUGGCAGGAGGCCCAGGAUGGGAUUGUUCUUGGAGACCGUGAGUUGGUCAGAGCAGGAGCUGGAAAUGUGGGUGAGGGGAAAUGAACUGAGGGGAAUCUGCCCAGAGUUUUGGUUUUUUGGGGGUUUUUUUGUUUGUUUUUUGUUUUCUGCACCUAGGAAAAAAAUGUAGAUGACUAGAGUUUAUCUGUUCUGAGGAUUAUGGCAGAAUUUUGGUGUUGGGGAAGAGACACAAGAUGGUGUUAGAAUUGGAGAGAAAACAGACCUGGAAAGUUCUGAAAGGUUUGAGCCUGACCAGGGAGCCUGAACGAUAGCCUGGAUUUGCAACAGAAGCACCUGAAGAGAAUUAACUUGACUGGACUUGGGAGGGAGGAGACACAGGCCUGGAAAGCUUUUCACCUGCAGGAGGGGGAUGGGAGCAGCUUCUGGCCUGGACAUGAAGGUAAGCAGGGUAGGCAGGGUAGCGUCUGGACCACACAAAGCUGACUUUGUCACCUGACUCUCCCCAGCAUGUUGCUCUGACUCUUCUCCCACAUUUAGAGGGAAAUAGAUGCCAGAGAAGAUACCCACGUCCUCAUUCCAGUUUCAGCUAGUUGUUCUUCCGGGAUUUUUCCUACCCGCGUCCAAUCCCCUUUCCCACCUUGUGUAAUCUCAAAUCUCAUUGUUCCCUCAAAGUUCUCCUACAGAAACCUCUAUGCCUCGUUAAUUUUUGUGUGUGUGCUUUUAAUUGGGCUUUGUUUCUGGCUUUUGAUGUUUGGUUCUUGAAGGUUUUUACUGAAAAAAAAAAUGAUCUUUGGGGGCUGGAGAAGUUAGGAAAUACAUGGUUUCUCUUGAUUGCCUUUUUCCUUCCAGGGCUCACUGGUGGGGGAUAGGGCGGGGGGGGGGGUCUCCAGCUGUCCCAGGGUUUCUGGCUUUAGUGGAAUUGGGUGGGGGCCCACGGGAGUGAGGGGCGUGAUGCAAGCACUGAGCACUUUCCAGGCACAGGAACAGGGACAUUUCAGGUGAGUAAGCACACAAAAGCUUGAACACCUUGAAAACCAAGUCCAGCAGAGUUUAGCUUAGUCUAAAUAAACUCACCCCUAUCCUUACCCCUUAGGGCACACGGGAAGAAUGAUGCUUGUGUGUGUAAUAUAUUCUCAUGGAUGCAUGCAAUAUUAUGAGUAAUUCUUGGCUUGUGUUGUAAAUUCUCUCCUGUUCUUGCUCACUCAGAGAAAUGUACGGAAAUUGAAGAAAAUGAAAGAAUUCGGAGUCUUUAUUAGCGUGUGUGUGUACGCAUGCGCGCGUGUUUUAUGCGAGAGAGGAAACAAAUGCAAAAGGAAACUUUGCUAAGAGAUUAUGAUUGAUCCUGAGUUAUGAGGGUAGUAGAUAUGAAUAAAGCCAGAAAACAAGAGUUCUUCACUCAAAGAACCAUGCGCUGGUCUGGCAUUUUUAAUAUGUGACCUUUGUAGAAUAAAAUAGGUAAGGUGAAUUCACAUCACUUUGGAGAUGGUGAAACUAAGACUCAGAGAGGGCUUAUGUGAAUUUUUUAAGAUCACGGGAUAUCACAGGUACAGUGAAGUACCCAGCUUCCAGUUCAUGCCUUUAAACACCUCUUCCCCUCUGUGAGGUGAGUGGGGAAGACCAGGAGCAAAUCUGAUAUGUGCUCAUUCCAUUUUCAGAGGGGCUGAGCUCAGGUGUCUCCCACCAGUCAAGAGGGCUUGCUGAGACCAUGGCUACAUCCCCUGAUGCUCAGGUGAGUGUUCUCUCAAUCCUAUUACCCGAGGAAGCCACCAUCUGUGAAACACGCAGGCUGAGAGGCUGGCGAGAAUGUCGUUCGGUAGUCCCAGGUUGACAGCUUUGGUUUUGUGUAAAUGGGGAGGUGUGUGGCCUGUUGGCUGGGGUUUUAUCACUCACCCCCUUUGACUUCCUGAGAAUUGUUUGUGUUGCGGAGAUUUCCUGUCUGUAUUUUUAGUGUCUGAUUCUCCACGGUUGCUCAAGAUCCGUGGCCAUAUUCUACUGACUCACCAGAGGCCCUGAUGCCCCUCAUCAAACCGAGGGCCGCUGCGUGGAAAGCACUCUGUGUGGAAAGCCCAGGGCUUGUCCCACAGCUUGCCUUAAGGGUUCCAGCUGAUUUUUCACAACAGGGUUUGCUGAUAGCUUCCCUUUCAGGAUUACAGUUUCGUUGGUUCGCUUUCUCAAUGCUGAAUCAGAGAAAGGACAUGUUCUGGGGGUGGAGCAAAAGGGAAUGGGUGCAGUGAGUGGCCACACAGCCUUUUUUUUCUGUGUCCCCGCUCUUUGUGGAUGCUUUUCUGCCAUCUGGGCUUCCCAAAGCCCUGCGUCUGUGGGCAAGGCUGCGCAGGGAAGGAGCUGAGUCACAGCUUUGCUUCUCUAUAAUUACACGUUUUAUCACCUCAUCUGACAUAGACGGGGUGUUGGUUGGAAAUGAAAUACACAUUAGGAAUAAGCUCUUUAGAAAUAGAAGGGAAAAAAAAAAAAGUGAAAAACCCGGCUUUCACAAUGUGAAGGCUUUUCUCCAGUAGCUAAGGUCAUGAAGAGACAGAACAGUCAUUUCUCCUUCUCACCCAUACAGUCAGGAAAAUGAAAACCUCAAAAUAAACAACACUGUAAAUUUCCCCUCAAACCCUCUCCUCGUCAUUUUGUUUCGUGUCCUCGUUGUGCAUGUCUGGCUAACACACCAUGCCAGGUGCUCCCCACCCCAUCUUUUCUCCCAUCUUCUUUGCUAUCGUGUCUCUCAAGACCUUAUUCAAAACCACCUUCAGUAUGAAAUCCUGUCUCCCUAGGAGACAUUAUUUCAUGGUAUGUUAUUGUGCUUCCGAAACCUGAGGAUGGCUCUUGGGUCAUUCUCUGUGUUCAUCACAUCACCAGCAGAUUGGAAGUUCUUCCAGAUGAGACGCAGUGCCUUCUGACGCCUUUUUUUCUCCUUGUGCUUCUUCCUUCCUCGGGAUAGUCCACAGUAUGAGUAGCAUCCAAUCUCAAGCCUCUUUUCCAACUUAGCCCAACCCAGCUCCCCCGCCUGCCAAGCUAAGAACAAACUCCCUUCCCAAAUGCAUGUGUAAUCAGACCCCCAAAAUAGCCAGGACAUGCAAACUAAUGAAGUUUCCAGUCCACCUCUACCCAAAUAUGACCUUGUUGAUAGCAUCUCCUUUUAGAUGACAGAUCUGGAUGUUUCCAUUGCUUGGUUGCUGUUUGCCACAUGCUUCCUGGACAGGUUUCCAGGUAACCUUAAUGGCUGUGCUUCUGGGGAAGGAGGAGUAGAAAAUAAUUCACCUCUUCAAUAAGUGGUUGUAAAAAUAUAACAGCAUUUAAAAGCUUUUAAAGAGCAGCUCUCUCCUUCCGGUGGCUCAGGCCCUGUUAGCUUUGUGCUAGGAGUCCCCAUAAUGCUUUGUGCUUGGCAACCUCUCAGUAGGACAGAAGGUAGAUUUAAAGGUCAGGAGAUUGAUUUUUUUUUUUUUUUUUUUUUUUUUUUUUUUUGGUGGAGGGCUUUCCAUGAGGGGUGUGGGAGAGGAAUCACUCAGGGAAGCAGUGGUCAGUGAGGCUUACUUCUCCAUCUGCUCCUCAUUCGUGUGUGAGACUCAACAAGCUCCUUGUCCAACAAGUGAGAGUCCCAGACCACAGAGGGGAGCAGUUUAUCCUAGAGGUCCCAGGGGAAGGGGGGACCUGGAAGGAAGAGGUAGGGACUGUCACUCCCUCUCCUCCCACUCACAUUCCCAUCAAAACUUGCAGGGCGAAUGUCCCCAAAUUGCAUGUGUGUUUUGCUUUGAUGUGGCCACACCGUGGCCACCCAGGCUUACUCUGGGGCAGCUGAAUCCCAUGGUUCAAACUAGGCCUGACUGUCCAAUUUUGGAAACUGGGAGGCGUUUUCCCCGUCUGCCAGGCCUUGCAGUUUACCUUCCCUAGAGCAUUGAGUAAGAAACUCAUGUUUAUAAAAUCCCAAGCCCCAUGAUUUCGCCCUGCCAGGGCUGGAGAAGUGGUAGGCACAUAAUGUCAGUCAGACCCUGCAACUGCUGUCCCUUCGUUCCUGCCCAGCACAAAGUUACUGGGGGAAAAGUAGGGAUACGUGGGGUGCAGGGAUGUAUUGGUUGUUUGAGCCCUGAAAAUAUAAUUUAAAAAUUGUCACCACCAAUCAAGUCAUGGGAUCUUCUGCCUGUAAUUUUCUUUUUUCUAAAAUGAUUUCUAAAAGCUAUGU